rnacentral:rRNA from 1 species
CAGUCGCCGCGGUAAUACGUAGGUGGCAAGCGUUGUCCGGAAUUAUUGGGCGUAAAGGGCUCGCAGGUGGUUUCUUAAGUCUGAUGUGAAAGCCCCCGGCUCAACCGGGGAGGGUCAUUGGAAACUGGGAAACUUGAGUGCAGAAGAGGAGAGUGGAAUUCCACGUGUAGCGGUGAAAUGCGUAGAGAUGUGGAGGAACACCAGUGGCGAAGGCGACUCUCUGGUCUGUAACUGACGCUGAGGAGCGAAAGCGUGGGGAGCGAACAGGAUUAGAUACCCGCGUAGUCCCUGUCUCUUAUAC